rnacentral:rRNA from 1 species
AUUGAACGCUGGCGGCAGGCCUAACACAUGCAAGUCGAGCGAGCGGCGGACGGGUGAGUAAUGUCUGGGAAACUGCCCGAUAGAGGGGGAUAACUACUGGAAACGGUAGCUAAUACCGCAUACCAUCGGAUGUGCCCAGAUGGGAUUAGCUAGUAGGUGGGGUAACGGCUCACCUAGGCGACGAUCCCUAGCUGGUCUGAGAGGAUGAUCAGCCACACGGGGACUGAGACACGGCCCAGACUCCUACGGGAGGCAGCAGUGGGGAAUAUUGCACAAUGGGCGCAAGCCUGAUGCAGCCAUGCCGCGUGUAUGAAGAAGGCCUUAGGGUUGUAAAGUACUUUCAGCGGGGAGGCGUUACUCGCAGAAGAAGCACCGGCUAACUCCGUGCCAGCAGCCGCGGUAAUAC